AAGUCGUAACAAGGUUUCCGUAGGUGAACCUGCGGAAGGAUCAUUAACGAAUGACGUCCGGGGUUGAUGCUGGCCUUUCGAGGCAUGUGCUCGCCCCGCUCACAUUAUCCCUCUCACACCUGUGCACUCUUGCGUGGGUCGGCGUCCUCGUCGGCCUGCGUUUUCUCACAAACACUUGCAUGUCAAAGAAUGAUAUCGAUGCUCAUAACGCAUUUUAUACAACUUUCAACAACGGAUCUCUUGGCUCUC
rnacentral:misc_RNA from 1 species